rnacentral:snRNA from 1 species
AUACUGAACUGGCAGAAGAGAUAUGAUCAUGUAGGUGAUUUUCCCAGGUCAAGACUUAACCAUUGUACACCAGGAUGUGCUGACGUCUGGUUAAUAUGGGAAAUUCAACUGUAUAAUUUGUGGCAGUGGAAGGACUGCAUUCAAGGUCUCUCA